GAUGCAAGCCACUAUAAAUCUUGCUGGAGACAUGUGUUCGCUACCCAGGCUCUGACAACAGACAAGAUACGACGAUCAACAAACUUUGGUUUGAAAGUUCCAGAUAUCUGCAGCAACAUGAGCGUUCAGCCAGAAAUAAAAGUUAUCUUGUACAGCAAUACCAACCUCACUGGCGACUGUGUACCAGUCUCUACAGACAUACCGGAUUUGAAAAACUUUCAGAACAGAGCUCAGUCAGCCAUUGUAAUCCAUGGAAGAUGGGAGCUGACAAGCGCUGCGGGAAAUACAUACCCUCUUGACGAUACAGUCGGAAGGUAUACUGUCUUCGGUACUUUCAAACAACAGGCCGUGUCCAUCACCCGAGCAUAAGGCGCCGUUGCCAUGAAGGAAAGGACAUACCAGCCACCUGCAUUUCUGCAUUUUCCUCUGCACUUUCCUGUACUCUUGAUUUUCCUUUACUCCAGAUUAUUAUGCUUUUAAUGUCUAACGUUUGGCUAUGCUUAAGUGGGUUUGCUUGAGAUGGGGAUAGGAAUCGACCUAGGUUGUAAGUGUGUGGUUAUGACAGUGUUCAGAGGCACAUGGUGUACUCUCACUACCUCUUGGAACAGAUUUUAAUGUCAAAAUCACGAAUUGUCAUAAUAUCUACAGAUAAACUCGACAGAGCAAUUACCCUCAAUCAUCUCAAUCCCAACAAUGUUGUCUUUAAUUUCACAAUAAAAUGAUUAUUAAAAAUAACGAUGCAGAAAAUUAUUGCUCCUUUCUAUUCUGUAGUGUUCGGUGUAACGUUAACUUUUCCACCUGUGCGCUUUGCUUCACAUAUACUAUGAUUCGUUUUGAACAAUGAAAGCUAUAAAGAUGAAGG